UACGUAGGUGGCAAGCGUUGUCCGGAUUUACUGGGCGUAAAGAGCGCGCAGGCGGUCGUUCAAGUCGCGUGUGAAAGCCCCCGGCUCAACUGGGGAGGGUCACGCGAUACUGAUCGACUCGAAGGCAGGAGAGGGUAGUGGAAUUCCCGGUGUAGUGGUGAAAUGCGUAGAGAUCGGGAGGAACACCUGUGGCGAAGGCGGCCCCCUGGGCCGGCCCUGACACUGAGACGCGAAGGCGUGGGAGCGAACGGAGUAGAUCGAGAACCGUACAGCACA
rnacentral:rRNA from 1 species